UACAGAGGUCGCGAGCGUUGUUCGGAUUUAUUGGGCGUAAAGGGCGCGUAGGCGGUAUGGCAAGUCAAGUGUGAAAUCUCGGAGCUCAACUUCGAAACUGCACUUGAUACUACUAUGCUAGAGGGUUGUAGAGGAGACCGGAAUUCACGGUGUAGCAGUGAAAUGCGUAGAUAUCGUGAGGAAGACCAGUUGCGAAAGCGGGUCUCUGGGCAAUUCCUGACGCUGAGGCACGAAGGCUAGGGGAGCAAACGGG
rnacentral:rRNA from 1 species